CCUACGGGUGGCAGCAGUGGGGAAUAUUGCACAAUGGGCGAAAGCCUGAUGCAGCAACGCCGCGUGAAGGAAGACGGUUUUCGGAUUGUAAACUUCUGUUCUUAGUGACGAAUACUGACAGUAACUAAGGAGCAAGCCACGGCUAACUACGUGCCAGCAGCCGCGGUAAUACGUAGGUGGCAAGCGUUGUCCGGAAUUACUGGGUGUAAAGGGAGCGUAGGCGGGAAGCCAAGUCAGCGGUGAAAACUACGGGCUUAACCUGUAGACUGCAGUUGAAACUGGCUUUCUUGAGUGAAGUAGAGGUUGGCGGAAUUCCGGGUGUAGCGGUGAAAUGCGUAGAUAUUCGGAGGAACACCGGUUGCGAAGGCGGCCAACUGGGCUUUAACUGACGCUGAGGCACGAAAGUGUGGGGAGCAAACAGGAUUAGAUACCCUAGUAGUC
rnacentral:rRNA from 1 species